rnacentral:rRNA from 1 species
UGCAAGUCGAACGAACUCUGGUAUUGAUUGGUGCUUGCAUCAUGAUUUACAUUUGAGUGAGUGGCGAACUGGUGAGUAACACGUGGGAAACCUGCCCAGAAGCGGGGGAUAACACCUGGAAACAGAUGCUAAUACCGCAUAACAACUUGGACCGCAUGGUCCGAGUUUGAAAGAUGGCUUCGGCUAUCACUUUUGGAUGGUCCCGCGGCGUAUUAGCUAGAUGGUGAGGUAACGGCUCACCAUGGCAAUGAUACGUAGCCGACCUGAGAGGGUAAUCGGCCACAUUGGGACUGAGACACGGCCCAAACUCCUACGGGAGGCAGCAGUAGGGAAUCUUCCACAAUGGACGAAAGUCUGAUGGAGCAACGCCGCGUGAGUGAAGAAGGGUUUCGGCUCGUAAAACUCUGUUGUUAAAGAAGAACAUAUCUGAGAGUAACUGUUCAGGUAUUGACGGUAUUUAACCAGAAAGCCACGGCUAACUACGUGCCAGCAGCCGCGGUAAUACGUAGGUGGCAAGCGUUGUCCGGAUUUAUUGGGCGUAAAGCGAGCGCAGGCGGUUUUUUAAGUCUGAUGUGAAAGCCUUCGGCUCAACCGAAGAAGUGCAUCGGAAACUGGGAAACUUGAGUGCAGAAGAGGACAGUGGAACUCCAUGUGUAGCGGUGAAAUGCGUAGAUAUAUGGAAGAACACCAGUGGCGAAGGCGGCUGUCUGGUCUGUAACUGACGCUGAGGCUCGAAAGUAUGGGUAGCAAACAGGAUUAGAUACCCUGGUAGUCCAUACCGUAAACGAUGAAUGCUAAGUGUUGGAGGGUUUCCGCCCUUCAGUGCUGCAGCUAACGCAUUAAGCAUUCCGCCUGGGGAGUACGGCCGCAAGGCUGAAACUCAAAGGAAUUGACGGGGGCCCGCACAAGCGGUGGAGCAUGUGGUUUAAUUCGAAGCUACGCGAAGAACCUUACCAGGUCUUGACAUACUAUGCAAAUCUAAGAGAUUAGACGUUCCCUUCGGGGACAUGGAUACAGGUGGUGCAUGGUUGUCGUCAGCUCGUGUCGUGAGAUGUUGGGUUAAGUCCCGCAACGAGCGCAACCCUUAUUAUCAGUUGCCAGCAUUAAGUUGGGCACUCUGGUGAGACUGCCGGUGACAAACCGGAGGAAGGUGGGGAUGACGUCAAAUCAUCAUGCCCCUUAUGACCUGGGCUACACACGUGCUACAAUGGAUGGUACAACGAGUUGCGAACUCGCGAGAGUAAGCUAAUCUCUUAAAGCCAUUCUCAGUUCGGAUUGUAGGCUGCAACUCGCCUACAUGAAGUCGGAAUCGCUAGUAAUCGCGGAUCAGCAUGCCGCGGUGAAUACGUUCCCGGGCCUUGUACACACCGCCCGUC